rnacentral:rRNA from 1 species
GACGAACGCUGGCGGCGUGCUUAACACAUGCAAGUCGAACGGAAAGGCCCUGCUUUUGUGGGGUGCUCGAGUGGCGAACGGGUGAGUAACACGUGAGUAACCUGCCCUUGACUUUGGGAUAACUUCAGGAAACUGGGGCUAAUACCGGAUAGGAGCUCCUGCUGCAUGGUGGGGGUUGGAAAGUUUCGGCGGUUGGGGAUGGACUCGCGGCUUAUCAGCUUGUUGGUGGGGUAGUGGCUUACCAAGGCUUUGACGGGUAGCCGGCCUGAGAGGGUGGCCGGACACAUGGGGAGUGAUACGGCCCAGACUCCUACGGGAGGCAGCAGUGGGGAAUAUUGCACAAUGGGCGGAAGCCUGAUGCAGCAACGCCGCGUGCGGGAUGACGGCCUUCGGGUUGUAAACCGCUUUCGCCUGUGACGAAGCGUGAGUGACGGUAAUGGGUAAAGAAGCACCGGCUAACUACGUG